rnacentral:tRNA from 1 species
GGAUAUAGCUCAGUUGGUAGAGUGCUUGCUCUGCAUGCACAAGGCCCUGGGUUCAAUCCCCAGUACCA